CCUACGGGUGGCAGCAGUGAGGAAUAUUGGUCAAUGGGCGCGAGCCUGAACCAGCCAAGUCGCGUGAGGGAAGACGGUCCUAUGGAUUGUAAACCUCUUUUGUCGGGGAGCAAAAGACGCCACGCGUGGCGUUCCGAGAGUACCCGAAGAAAAAGCAUUGGCUAACUCAGUGCCAGCAGCCGCGGUAAUACGUAUGGAGCAAGCGUUAUCCGGAUUUACUGGGUGUAAAGGGAGCGUAGGCGGCCCUGUAAGUCUGAUGUGAAAAUUUGGGGCUCAACCCCAAACGUGCAUUGGAAACUGCAGGGCUUGAGUGCCGGAGAGGCAGGCGGAAUUCCUAGUGUAGCGGUGAAAUGCGUAGAUAUUAGGAGGAACACCAGUGGCGAAGGCGGCCUCCUGGACGGUAACUGACGCUGAGGCUCGAAAGCGUGGGGAGCAAACAGGAUUAGAUACCCUUGUAGUC
rnacentral:rRNA from 1 species